rnacentral:rRNA from 1 species
AGUGAACGCUGGCGGUAGGCCUAACACAUGCAAGUCGAACGGCAGCACAGUAAGAGCUUGCUCUUACGGGUGGCGAGUGGCGGACGGGUGAGGAAUACAUCGGAAUCUACUUUUUCUUGGGUGAUAACGUAGGGAAACUUACGCUAAUACCGCAUACGACCUACGGGUGAAAGCAGUAGAUCUUCGGACCUUUCGCGAUUGAAUGAGCCGAUGUCGGAUUAGCUAGUUGGCUGGGUAAAGGCCCAACAAGGCGACGAUCCGUAGCUGGUCUGAGCGGAUGAACCGCCCAAAUGGAACCGAGAACAGGUCCAGAAUCCUAAGGGAGGCAGGCGUGGGGAAUAUUGGCGAAUGGGGGGAAGGCUGAUCCAGGCAUCGCGGCGGGGUGAAGAAGGGCUUCCGGUUGUAAAGCCCUUUUGUUGGGAAAGAAAAGAAGCAGGAUAAAACCCCGCUCUUCUGAAGGUACCCAAAGCAUAAGCCCCCGCUAAACUAGUG